CCCGCACAAGCGGAGGAACAUUGUGGUUUAAUUCGAUGAUACGCGAGGAACCUUACCUGGGCUUAAAUGUAGAGUGCAUUUUUUAGAGAUAGAAAUUCCCUUCGGGGCUUUCUGCAAGGUGCUGCAUGGUUGUCGUCAGCUCGUGCCGUGAGGUGUCGGGUUAAGUCCCAUAACGAGCGCAACCCUUAUCGUUAGUUGCCAUCUGGUAAUGCAGGGGACUCUAGCGAAACUGCCACCGUAAGGUGAGAGGAAGGUGGGGAUGACGUCAAAUCAGCACGGCCCUUAUGUCCAGGGCUACACACGUGUUACAAUGGUCGGUACAGAGGGCAGCUACCUGGUGACAGGAUGCUAAUCUCGAAAACCGGUCUCAGUUCGGAUCGAAGUCUGCAACUCGACUCCAUGAAGUUGGAAUCGCUAGUAAUCGCAGAUCAGCAACGCUGCGGUGAAUACGUUCCCGGGCCUU
rnacentral:rRNA from 1 species